UAAGGAAUAUUGGUCAAUGGACGCAAGUCUGAACCAGCCAUGCCGCGUGAAGGAUGAAGGUCCUCUGGAUUGUAAACUUCUUUUAUCUGGGACGAAAACGGGAUUUUUAUCUCAAUUGACGGUACCAGAGGAAUAAGCACCGGCUAACUCCGUGCCAGCAGCCGCGGUAAUACGGAGGGUGCAAGCGUUAUCCGGAUUCACUGGGUUUAAAGGGUGCGUAGGUGGGUAUGUAAGUCAGUGGUGAAAUCCCCGAGCUUAACUUGGAAACUGCCGUUGAUACUAUAGGUCUUGAAUUAUCUGGAGGUGAGCGGAAUAUGUCAUGUAGCGGUGAAAUGCUUAGAUAUGACAUAGAACACCAAUUGCGAAGGCAGCUUACUACAUAUAAAUUGACGCUGAGGCACGAAAGCGUGGGGAUCAAACA
rnacentral:rRNA from 1 species